UUACCAUGCAAGUCGAACGGUGAUGCGGAGCUUGCUCCGCGGAUCAGUGGCGAACGGGUGAGUAACACGUGAGUAACCUGCCCCUGACUCUGGGAUAAGCGUUGGAAACGACGUCUAAUACCGGAUGUGUCCUUUGAAGGCAUCUUCGUUGGUGGAAAGAAUUUCGGUUGGGGAUGGACUCGCGGCCUAUCAGCUUGUUGGUGAGGUAAUGGCUCACCAAGGCGACGACGGGUAGCCGGCCUGAGAGGGUGACCGGCCACACUGGGACUGAGACACGGCCCAGACUCCUACGGGAGGCAGCAGUGGGGAAUAUUGCACAAUGGGCGCAAGCCUGAUGCAGCAACGCCGCGUGAGGGACGACGGCCUUCGGGUUGUAAACCUCUUUUGGCAGGGAAGAAGCGAGAGUGACGGUACCUGCAGAAAAAGCACCGGCUAACUACGUGCCAGCAGCCGCGGUAAUACGUAGGGUGCAAGCGUUGUCCGGAAUUAUUGGGCGUAAAGAGCUCGUAGGCGGUUUGUCGCGUCUGCUGUGAAAACGCGAGGCUCAACCUCGCGCCUGCAGUGGGUACGGGCAGACUAGAGUGUGGUAGGGGAGAUUGGAAUUCCUGGUGUAGCGGUGGAAUGCGCAGAUAUCAGGAGGAACACCGAUGGCGAAGGCAGAUCUCUGGGCCAUUACUGACGCUGAGGAGCGAAAGCGUGGGGAGCGAACAGGAUUAGAUACCCUGGUAGUCCACGCCGUAAACGUUGGGAACUAGAUGUGGGGUCCAUUCCACGGAUUCCGUGUCGCAGCUAACGCAUUAAGUUCC
rnacentral:rRNA from 1 species